AUGGAACAUCCCCCCACCCCAUCCGGGGGGCAUUACUCAGGCUGGAGAGGGGGAGAGAGGGAAGCAUCCCCCUCCGUCCGGGAGGGCGACGAGGGACGUGUUAGUUCUGUUUCCGAAAGAUGAUGCAGGAUGCCAGAGCCGAACGCAGAUCGCCGCAGUGAUUCGUUCACUCCAUACAAUCAUAGAAUGGUUUGAGUUGGAAGGCACCUUAAAGAUCAUCCAGUUCCAGCGCCCUUGCCAUGGGCAGGGAACCUUCCACUGGACCAGGUUGCUCAGUGCCCCAUCCCAGCUAUAUUCACUGCUCAGGUGAAGUGAGAAGAGCGUUAUCUCACGCACUUGCUUAUCUCCUGUCUGUAUUAGGAAGAUUUUUAAGGAUAGCGGCAUUUCAAAAAGAUAAGUCAGAAAGAAAAUGUAAAAAGAAUGGAAACUCUACAAGAGUCACAGCAACAAAGAGGAAUGUUCAGUUUGUGUCCUCUGAGGAUACUCCUAUGGAAGAACGUGAAAAUGUACUUCAAGAACGACAGAAAAAAUGGGACAGAAAAUGAAAGAGAAUAAGUGAUCCUUGUGGCUAAAUCUCCUUUGGAAAGAAGAGUGUUGUGCUUCCUGAACAUUCAGAUCUAAGAGAGGAGAGUGAAAUGCCGGAUUGCCAAAGUGAUGGAAGUUCUGAAAAUAGUGGUUCAAAUGACAGUACUUGAACCCAUCUCAUGGAACGGGAGAAAAGGAAAAACCUCAGGAUAGAUGAGAUGAAAAAGCAUCUUUUCCUUCAACUCUGACUGUGAUACCUUUGGAAGGGAGCAUACUUUAUGGAAAAGGAUAAUGUCAUAGAUACUCCACUUCACAUGGAUAACUGCAUCAUCUGUUUGGAAAGAGCAUAAGGAAAGAUGACUUAAUAGUCCAGAAAGCAGAAAACCUGCUGGGUAUGUGGGUGUGUGAGUUUCAGAUCCAUGGACUGAAAUACACAAAGCAAGAACGUCAUGGUUGGAUUCUUACUCCCACGUACCUGCCUGAAACUCUUUUAAGUCCACAGGUUUUCUCGCUUUUCCAAUUCACUACCCCAUCUCACUACAGUGGGAGUGAGAGAGUUGCUGGCUGGGGCUAAACCAUGACAAUCCUCUUGGUGCCCAACAUGGGGCUUGAAGGUUUUGAGGAUGGAAUUCCAGUGUGAACCUAAGCCGAAGGAUCUGUGACCUGUGAAUGAACCCAUGUGAGAGGACACCCUGAAGCGUCUCUGGUCAUGAAUAAGCCCACUCCAGAGGAGAUUAUCCUAUCUCUGAAGAAUAUCUAGAUCUUCUGGUAUUGUCACAUGCAGACAGUGAGUAAACCAGACUUCUUUGCCUCACUUUACCAAAAGACAUUUUAAUCAAUUUAUGUAUGAACAUACCUUGAGGAUGGCAUGAAAAACAACACAUUACUGGAAUGAAACAAGGACUUAUGAACUGUCUAAAAUAAAUAAUAUAUAGGGUAAAAAAAUACAGAGAUUUUGACAAAGAGAAGAGGUGGAGGAUGAUCCUGGAAGUCUUUGCACAAAGAGGCCCCUCUAUCCAACCUAGCUGGCAAAAAAAAAAGAGAAGCACUUGAGAUAUCCAGUUCAAAGCUGUCUAAUCCACCAUGCUUGAAGUUCCUUUUUCUCUAAAAGCAUUCUAAGAGUGUGGUUUGGUUACCUGCAUUCACCAAGCAUGGUAUGAGCAUUGUCCUCUGCAGUGACAACAUUGAGCUGUUUCUGCCUGGCUGCUUUUUGUUUUGUAUAGAGAUACUCUCAAGCAUUCAGGUACAUAUGUAUAAAUUAUGCCUUGCCUACUCCAUCACAUGCCAUACAGGUGGAACAGAAGGUUUCUCCUCCUGCAGAGCUCCUGUCCAUGUCCUUCUGAAGCCAUUCAGUUAGUUCCUUCAUGCCAAUAGCGUACCUGUUUUCCUUUGGUUCUGCCUUCUCCCCUGGGAUUUCUGCCAGGCCAGCACACUCCUCCAAUGGUUUCUCUUCCCUCUGGCAGCUAAGAUGGCAUCCCAGCAGUCUUGCCCUCAAGGAAUGAACUGCCGGAAUGGACUCUGGCUCCAGCUCAGCAUAUGGAGGCUCAUUUCAACCCUGCCUCCUCAGACCAGUAAGUCCCCAAAUUUCCAUGAAGAAGAACAGCUCCUGUUGGCUUCCAUGUUGUGGCUGUGGCUCUGGCCCAUGACUUCACAGUCCUUCCUCCUAGCCCAGCAUCAGCCAACACUCAGUAUUCUGCCCAUCAGCAGGACUCAGGAGCAUCACCUGUCUGAGAUCACUGCAGACUACUGCACACUUUUUGAGGUUUAGACUUCCCAGAUGCUUUACACAGCAAGGUAAGUAAAGUUUUGAAAAUAAAACCAUUUUAUGCUGCCCUUUUGUGCAAUAAAAUAAAAUGUACCUCUCCCUGCUUAGUUAGUGUAUUGGACUGUACUCCCAGGGGUGGGAGAACAGCUACGCAGCAUUUGCACGUUUCAUCAACAAAGAAAAACCAGGCUUUUUUCCCCCACAAUUUAACUUUUGCAAGGAAAAAAAAAAAAAGAAAUUCAAACCUCAAAUUAUAUGUGUUUGAGACAUGGUGUAUGGUAGGAAAUUGUAGAACAUUCAUAUUUCAAAUCUUCCUAUUUUAUCUCCCCCUCAAAAAAUAAGAUCUCAUUUUUCGGAAAAACCCAUACAAGCUUAAGACUUGUACUGGGGAUUUUUGGGACUUUCUCUUCAAAGAACUCUUAAAAGUCUACUGCAAUGGUUUGGGAGUGCAUAUAGUGGGUUUACUUUAAAACUACAAACUCUGGAAGCAUUUGGAUUCUUGUCAACUCUAUUGUGAUUCUGCAGGAAAACUGGGAGGGCUUCAGCCCUUACUUGACUAUGGAUCAGUGAAUUUUUGAUGACUGAGAUCUUGCUAUAAGAGAUAAUUUUUUUAUAAAAUUUAUUCUUUAAUUAAGAAACUCAUUCAGCAAAAUGUAUGCAAACAGUUCUGAUGUUAAAUCAACAAGUCAUUUUUAAAAAUUGUUAUUGGAUGAAGACGAUGGAGCUUUCCCCCCAUGUGCCUUGACUUGAUACCUAACUCAAGGCUUUGUUUUUUUUAUUGGGGUUUUUUAAUUUUUUUCCAGAUUACCAUAAGCAGUGUUUCACUGCUUAGGUCCAGAUGGAACUACCUUUCAUGGAUGACAGAGCAUAUGAACAGUAGGAUUAUUUUAUUGCUGGACUGGGGACAUCCACUGAUUCUGUCCUUAAUACACCCUUUUAUUAGGAACAAUUACAUAUGUCUCUGGAAACUGUAUGAUUCCACAUGGGAUACAAUGAGGUGCUUUAUGAACACAAUUCAAAAUUAACUUUGAAUUUCCUGGCUUUUGUUGAUUUUUGUCACAACUUUAACAUUUUUCAAACAUAAAAUCAUUACAUUAAAAAAAUAAAUCUCUAUUUUAGCUAAGAUUUAUUAUACCCCAGUGAGAUAAACCUUGUUUUCAGUUUUCAGUAAUAGCAUGAUUUAUUUCCAAGCAGCUGAGAGCUAAAAAAAAAAAGAGAGAGAUAGAUCUGAAUGAAAAAUAAUACUUCCUAACAAAAAAAGUAAAUUUUACAGGACCUUUAAAGAACUCUCAAUCAGCCUCAAGAGUGACUAUAUCAAGUCUCUCACUCUGACAGGUUUGUGAUAUACUUCACUUAUUCUUAAGUACAAUUUAAUAUGUAAACAUUGAUCUGAAUUACUAUUUUUAAAGUUUUCUGGAAGAUUGAGGAUUUGACAUUUCCUCAUGUAUUCAGCUGCAGAGCAGACUUGGAAUCACUGAUGCUAAGUGGUCAACUAUCAUGAACUCCUUAGAGGGGAUUACUAUUAUAUAACUUACUAUUUUGCCAUUUGUGGUCUUCGUGCAAAACUACUGAGACAGCAAGUGUUUGGCAAGGCAUGUGUAGUACCCUGAACACCACUUGUAGGGCUUUCUCACGGAGAUAGAUAGAUUUUUUUUCUUUUUUUUUUUCUUUUCUUCUGUUUCAGCAUUCUCUUUCCACUAGGUCCCCAGUGCUCUAUUUGAAUAUAAGUUGAGAAUGCUCAGAGCUGGGAGACUCCAUUCACUUGAAAGGAAGAAGGGUGAUCUCCAGCUACUGACAAUAAGAGAGGGUAGAACAGACAAGGGCAAUAAUUGGAACAUGUUUGUUCCCCAAUACAUCUGGACAAAGCAGGUAUAAAUACAUAAAUCCACUCACAGCAGAGUCCCAGUUUGCAGCUGGUGGCACCUCUGAGCCUUUUGAAUAGCAAAUGUUUUUCUCUUGCUUGUAUUUCUCUGUUCCACAUUUCAUCCUCAGGAGCAAGCCUGGCUUAAGUCAUUUUUAUCCACCUGGAAAGAGCCUGUAAUUUAUCCCUUUAUUAAUUAACUGCUUUAAGGCUUGUCCCACUCUCAGUCCAUUGGUGAGGGUCUGUAUCUCCCAUGGAGGUCACCAAUUCACCUCUCCUAUUUGGAAAUAUUUGCUCUGUCUUCACUGAUUGCCAUACUGUGCUUUCUUGCCCUGCUUGCUGACGCCCUUGCUCCUCUCAGUACACAUGCCAAGACACAGAGGACUGAGAUGAGAAUCUUGCUUUCCCCUUGCUUUCUUCAGCCCAAAGUUUGAUGUCCAGUGUUGCGUAUCAGUAGCAGGGAAGUUUUCCCCCACCUGUAUUCUAUUUCUCCUUUUAGGGAAAAAAUGUUCUCUUAGGGGCUUGUUUGGACUGUUCUAGUCCAGCAAUUCUUAUUUUGGCAUUGAAUAUGUUAUUCUUUCAGGGCUCCCAUCUUUUCAGAUCAUGACCUCAAAUUUGUUGACUACUUUUCUAAUGUAUUGCCAAUGAGAUCACCUUUUCAGACUGUCACACCCAUUGCCUUUGUACUGGUACCCAUUCCUAAGAUGAUAGGACUCUAUGGACUAAGAUCAUCUUCCACAGUAAGGCUCUGAACUUUCUGAAUUCCCUCACCAGUUUUUUUAUGAUUCAAACUGUGCUAUAAGUGAUCUUAAUGGCUCAGUACCCUCUCAGCCACAGCAGAUAAUAGGAUGGCAGUGAAACGGAUUGAGGCACAGUGAGGACAACAAAUACUGGCCCAAAAAUUUCUCUAUAUGUUAGUAACUUGCCCAGUAAUUUUUCAUGUACUGUAAAUGAGACUAUGACAUAGGAUACCUGAGAUGCAAGAUAGCUACUUGCCCAGACCCAGUAAAGUGCAAGAGAGUCUAUUUAAACUUCUGUGCAGGAUAAAACUCUGAGUCCUCCCCUUAAGUGUCUGAGCUUAUUACCAAAGGAAGAGCAGACCUAACAGACUUCUAAUGUAGUGGGUGAUCUGACCACCUAAGGAAGCCUCCUACUCUGAGUUGUCCUUGGAAGCCUACCUCUUCAGUGACUUUGAAGACAGUCUGGCAAUAUGAGCUUUAGUAAACCAAAAUUAGCUUCUGUGAAAAUCCCUGGGGUCUAUUCAGCCAUUUCCAGCAGUUCUAGCAAACUAUAAAGAUUUACAUUAUUUAAAUAUAGAUCGCAAUUAUCUAUUGGAAAAAUUAUCUAUAAAAAAACCACAGUAGAGUUUUAAUGAACUGAAAAAUCCAUUCAUAUGUUUUCAAAGAAAUUUUUCUGAGAUAAUUAGAUACUUUCUUAAAUCAGUCUGAGAGUCAGACAAAUUACUGGCAAACCAAUGCAUAAGAGAUGACUAAUUCUCAUAUACUAGUGUCACCUAGGCACUACUAUGAAUAAUGCAUUCCAAAGCAUAAAAUAGAAAGUACCUGAAUUAAACCCCAUGUCUGACAGUAUCUGAAGGGAAAGAGGGGUGAAUGAGGAAGGGAAAUGAAUAUGAAUAGUCACUGAGACUUCUCAAUUGACAGAGAGAUUGAAUCUGUUUGUCCAUUUCAUGGAGCUAUUCAGGCUGUAAACUCUGAAUGAAUGAAGUAAACCAGGUAGAAUAAAAGCAAAUGAAGGACAAAGAAAAACAGCACAAGAAAGAAGAGCAUGUAUUUAUUUUUUUUAUUCUCUUUUGAGAGUAAAUUCCAACUGCCAACUUCCUCUGUGUAGCAUGGUGGCAGAUGAAUAUACUUUUUUAUUUUCACUAUGCAAAGGUCGUCUUCACCUGAAAAACAGGAACAGAAUGUGCAUUAGCAGCAUCUUGCACAGCCACUAGACAAUCACAAUUAAUUUUCUCAGACAGUGUUACAAAUUCAGACACCAGCAACAGAAAUCUUGCUAAAAGAGGCAUCUUUUGUUCUUCUCUCUUCUUCCCUACCUCACUCCCAAAUACACAGACCUGAUGUUUAUUUUGUACUGACCCUAACAUGUACCAUUUCCCUCUGUGAGCCACUUCCACAUGCUAAAGCUGCAGAAAGCAAAACUAGACAGUAUGAUUUUGUGCCCUGUUAAUGAAUAAAAGUGAUCUUCCAAGGACAUGGCAGGACCUGACAGAAGCCAGAGCUGGUCAAAGGGAGGGGGAAGGGCUGCAAAGCUGAGGAGAAGGGAGAAAGGGAUGGGAUAGAUUUCUAUCGGGGAAUGAUAAAUAGGCAAGCAAGAAUGGAGCUGGGAAACACAAGACCUAGAAAUUGUCUCACCUCAGCACAGGACUGAAGUGGUACUGGAUCUUGUCACCUUUCAGGAAGGUAAAAUCUUGUAUUCAAAGCAAGCUGCACACUCUCAUCAAAAAGACUGACUGGAAUAGAAAGUUACUGCCUAUGCUUACCAGGCAGAACCAGGAACAGAGAAGAAAUCACGCCCAUUUAGCUCAGUCUGAGCUGUAUGCACAACUUCCUGGCAACGACAUGGAUGCAUGUCUGUAUUCUAGAUGGUUUUUCUACUUGAUUAUUUUCUGAGCACACGCUGAUUUCUGAUGAAUAGACAGAGCAAAACUGAUGUAACACCACACACAGUAACCUUGAAUGGUGACCCUGUGGUUCCCUGGUUGUACUUUUGCAUAGUUUCUUCAUAAGCAAAACUCAUUGCCAGGCAAAUGAACCAUAAACCUUAUUUGUAUUCUUGAACUCCCUUACCCUACUUGUCUCCAUAGCGGGUUGGCUGCAUGUGGACUGCCUUUGGGUAUUGUCCCCUGCUUAGGAAUAAAUUGGGAGCGUGCUAGUUGGCGUAGGUCAAAAGCAUGCCAAGGUUUGUUCCAGAACCAGUAUGAUGCCUGGCUCUAGUCUGUUUUACAUGUUGCAAUUCUAUAAUUUUCUGAAGUUUCACCUCAGGUACUUACACAAUAAUUAUUCUCCAGUCGUAACUGCUAUCAUUCCUCAAUGCAGCAAUAGAAAACUGAUGGAUGUAUUUCAGCCUAUUCUUUGAAAGUUUAAUGAAAAUAUGAUAGAAACAGAGAAAAAUUUAUUUUGAAACAGCUCUAUGGAGGUGUCAUAUGGGCCGAGCUUCUGCUUAUAGCAGAAAGAUGCCCUAACCUCCAGUCCUUUUUCUGCAAAGCUGCUUUCUAGUCUUUUGGCAUCCAGGAUUGCAGAAUCUCAGAAUCACAGGACAACUGAAGUUGGAAGAGAAUUCAUCUGGUCCAACUCCUCACUGCCCAAGCAGGGCCACCUAAAAGCAGUUGUCCAGGGCCAUAUCCAGAUGGCUUUUGUGUAUCUGCAAGGACGAAGAUUCCAGAACCUCCCUGGGAAACCUGAGUCAGUGCUUGGCCACUCUCACAGUGAAAAAGUGAAAAAGUGUUUCCAGAUGUUCAGAGGGAACCUUCCGUGCUUCAGUGUGUUCCUAUUGUCUCAUAAAAAUUCCAAUAACAUCUAAAAGCAGUCACCUUGAAAGAAAUAAUACAGACUCUUGGGUGGGUUAAGACGUGACUGACAGGUUGGUCUAGAUGCUGUGUGGAAGUUCUUUCCAAACUCAGUUAUUUUAUUAUUGUAUGAUUUGAGCUAAUAUAUGUGAUUUUGCUAAUGUGAUGAAGAAGUUCUGGGGUUGUGUCUUUCUUAAGCAGUCAUAAAGCAGAAACUGUGACUCACAGAUGCAUGAAAUAUAAUUAAAGGCAUCAUA